rnacentral:rRNA from 1 species
AGAGUUUGAUGAUGGCUCAGAAUGAACGCUGGCGGCGUGCUUAACACAUGCAAGUCGAACGAUGAAGCCUAGCUUGCCAGGUGAAUUAGUGGCGCACGGGUGAGUAAUAUAUAGAUAACGUGCCUCUUAGUCUGGGAUAGCCAUUGGAAACGAUGAUUAAUACUAGAUACUCCUUCUGAUUAUAAUUUCAGUUGGGAAAGUUUUUCGCUAAGAGAUCGGUCUAUAUCCCAUCAGCUAGUUGGUAGUGUAAGAGACUACCAAGGCAAUGACGGGUAGCGGGUUUGAGAGGAUGAUCCGCCACACUGGUACUGAGACACGGACCAGACUCCUACGGGAGGCAGCAGUGAGGAAUAUUGCACAAUGGAGGAAACUCUGAUGCAGCAACGCCGCGUGGAGGAUGACGCAUUUCGGUGUGUAAACUCCUUUUAUAUGUCAAGAAAAUGACGGUAGCAUAUGAAUAAGCACCGGCUAACUCCGUGCCAGCAGCCGCGGUAAUACGGAGGGUGCAAGCGUUAUUCGGAAUCACUGGGCGUAAAGGACGCGUAGGCGGGAAGCCAAGUCUGAUGUGAAAUCCUAUGGCUCAA